GACGAACGCUGGCGGCGUGCUUAACACAUGCGAGUCGAACGGAAAGGCCCUGCUUUUGUGGGGUGCUCGAGUGGCGAACGGGUGAGUAACACGUGAGUAACCUGCCCUUGACUUUGGGAUAACUUCAGGAAACUGGGGCUAAUACCGGAUAGGAGCUCCUGCUGCAUGGUGGGGGUUGGAAAGUUUCGGCGGUUGGGGAUGGACUCGCGGCUUAUCAGCUUGUUGGUGGGGUAGUGGCUUACCAAGGCUUUGACGGGUAGCCGGCCUGAGAGGGUGACCGGCCACAUUGGGACUGAGAUACGGCCCAGACUCCUACGGGAGGCAGCAGUGGGGAAUAUUGCACAAUGGGCGGAAGCCUGAUACAGCAACGCCGCGUGCGGGAUGACGGCCUUCGGGUUGUAAACCGCUUUCGCCUGUGACGAAGCGUGAGUGACGGUAAUGGGUAAAGAAGCACCGGCUAACUACGUG
rnacentral:rRNA from 1 species